rnacentral:rRNA from 1 species
UACGUAGGCAGCAAGCGUUGUUCGGAGUUACUGGGCGUAAAGCGUGCGCAGGCGGUGAUGUAAGACAGGUGUGAAAUCCCCGGGCUUAACCUGGGAACUGCGCUUGUUACUGGCAGGCUUGAGUGUGGCAGAGGGGGGUGGAAUUCCACGUGUAGCAGUGAAAUGCGUAGAGAUGUGGAGGAACACCGAUGGCGAAGGCAGCCCCCUGGGCUAACACUGACGCCUCAUGCACGAAAGCGUGGGGAGCAAACAGG